rnacentral:rRNA from 1 species
CAGUAGCCGCGGGAAUACGUAGGGUGCGAGCGUUAAUCGGAAUUACUGGGCGUAAAGCGUGCGCAGGCGGUUAUAUAAGACAGAUGUGAAAUCCCCGGGCUCAACCUGGGACCUGCAUUUGUGACUGUAUAGCUAGAGUACGGUAGAGGGGGAUGGAAUCCACGUGUAGCAGUGAAAUGCGUAGAUAUGCGGAGGAACACCGAUGGCGAAGGCAAUCCCCUGGACCUGUACUGACGCUCAUGCACGAAAGCGUGGGGAGCAAACAGGAUUAGAUACCCCCGUAGUCCCUGUCUCUUAUACA